UAGGGAAUCUUCGGCAAUGGACGAAAGUCUGACCGAGCAACGCCGCGUGAGUGAAGAAGGUUUUCGGAUCGUAAAACUCUGUUGUUAGAGAAGAACAAGGACGUUAGUAACUGAACGUCCCCUGACGGUAUCUAACCAGAAAGCUACGGCUAACUACGUGCAAGCAGCCGCGGUAAUACGUAGGUGGCAAGCGUUGUCCGGAUUUAUUGGGCGUAAAGCGAGCGCAGGCGGUUUCUUAAGUCUGAUGUGAAAGCCCCCGGCUCAACCGGGGAGGGUCAUUGGAAACUGGGAGAGUUGAGUGCAGAAGAGGAGAGUGGAAUUCCAUGUGUAGCGGUGAAAUGCGUAGAUGUAUGGAGGAACACCAGUGGCGAAGGCGGCUCUCUGGUCUGUAACUGACGCUGAGGCUCGAAAGCGUGGGGAGCAAACAGG
rnacentral:rRNA from 1 species